GUGCAGCAGUCGCGAAUACUUCACACUGUGCGAAAGCACGAUGAGGGAAUCCCAAGUGCUUGCACGUAAGUGUAAGCUGUUUCUCUGUCUAAAACGCAGAGAGAGUAAGGGCUGGGGUAAGACGGGUGCCAGCCGCCGCGGUAAUACCUGCAGCUCAAGUGGUGACCGUUAUUAUUGGGCCUAAAACGUCCGUAGCCGGUUUAAUAAAUGCCUGGGUAAAUUGUGUAGCUUAACUAUACGAAUUCCGGGUAGACUGUUAAAACUUGAGACCGGGAGAAGUUAGAGGUACUCCUGGGGUAGAGGUG
rnacentral:rRNA from 1 species